GAGUUUGAUCCUGGCUCAGGACGAACGCUGGCGGCGCGCCUAACACAUGCAAGUCGAACGAGCGAGAGAGAGCUUGCUUUUCUAAGCGAGUGGCGAACGGGUGAGUAACGCGUGAGGAACCUGCCUCAAAGAGGGGGACAACAGUUGGAAACGACUGCUAAUACCGCAUAAGCCCACAGCUCGGCAUCGAGCAGAGGGAAAAGGAGCAAUCCGCUUUGAGAUGGCCUCGCGUCCGAUUAGCUAGUUGGUGAGGUAAUGGCCCACCAAGGCGACGAUCGGUAGCCGGACUGAGAGGUUGAACGGCCACAUUGGGACUGAGACACGGCCCAGACUCCUACGGGAGGCAGCAGUGGGGAAUAUUGCACAAUGGGGGAAACCCUGAUGCAGCGACGCCGCGUGGAGGAAGAAGGUCUUCGGAUUGUAAACUCCUGUUGUUGAGGAAGAUAAUGACGGUACUCAACAAGGAAGUGACGGCUAACUACGUGCCAGCCGCCGCGGUAAUUC
rnacentral:rRNA from 1 species